rnacentral:lncRNA from 13 species
AUGCCAGAAUCUUUAGAAUUACCAGCGCUAUAUGCGCGUCACCACAGACUACUUAUAAUUGGGAAUUUUACUGCUAGUUUAUCGUCCCAGCACCGAAAGGCUCUAGGCAGAUUCCAGAAGAGGCUACCCAGAGUGCCGCUGGACCGGAGACCAAAGGAGAGCUGGAGAGGGAAGAGAGUGGAGGCGGAACUGGAGCCAGAUAGGACACCUCCACCCAGGGAAGCCCCACCCUACUGCGGAAGUGCAACAUCCCCUCUAAACUCUCUGGGAAAGAAGCCAUGGAGUCUGCCGCUCCACUGGCUCCAGUUCCUGCUGGACAUCCCCACAUGUAGAGAAGCAGCUGGCUACCACACAGUGAUUCAGCACACACCCCUUCCAGCGCGUGCUCUCGCUCUCUCUCUCACACACACACACGAGUGCCUCUCCUCUACGUAGCCCUUUUCCCAGUCUGUUUGCACUUACAAAUGAAUGGUUUCUCCCCCACAGAUUACAGCAUCACACUGUAAUGGGCUAAUGUAUUGUUUCAUAACUUUUCAUAAGCAAGCUCCAAAUUUGAGUGGGUUGACGUUUUAGCCUUUCAUCCGCAGGUCAGUGGUCAACAGAAAAUCGUUUACUGCGUUUUUGCCAUUGUUUAGUGACCACAAACCCUGCUUUACCACAAUGUAAGGAUCAAUUGUUUCUUUGUCUGUCGGGGUGUAAGCAGGAAAGCAUGAACAAAAAACACAAAUGUUGCAGUUUUCCAUAUCGGAGCUUAAACAAGCAGCACAGGAUGUGCAGCCAAACUAUUUCCCUGCUUGGCUGGUGUUUUUGAAAUAAACGUCUUUUAAUGUGUGGAGUUUGCGGACAAGAUGGAGUCCUCAGUUCUCUGAGAACAGCAGUCCCUGUGGAUUUCGUGUGGUCUCGUCCCUUUUAUUCACAGGUGGGCGGGACGGGAUUCUGCCUAAACAGUUCUAAUCCUUUGUCUGUGUGUUUGUUAGUCUUUGAAAUGAAAAGUACAAAGUUUAGAGAUUCUCUUACAUCAUAAAAACGUCAAACAUCAGUUUGAUAUAUUCACAGGAGAAUAAACGUGAAGAAACACAAAGGACAAGAAGCAAUAGGAAUAUUUAUCACAAUUGUUGGCCCAUAAUUGACAAUUACACUCCAAACCAAAAUAUAAAUGAAUGUCCUUCAACAGUAUAAAAAAGAAGCCCCUCGCGUCGCUGAAUUUAAUCGGAACGAAACAAUUUCCAUCAAAAGGUCUUGGAGUAGAUUGAAUCACUCUUAUCUCCGGUUUGGCGGUUUCCAUAGCAACAUGCCAGUCCCAUGGCCGUCUGAGGAAAAUUCACUCCUGUAGCCUGGACCCAAAUCUGCCAUCAAAGUUUCAUGGGCAUCAAUUUGAGCAUAACGAUUGAACAUGGUAAGAGUUGUUUGGAAUGAACCCUUGCACAAUGAAGCUACUACCAUCUUUCCCCUACCUUUUAUAUAGAUAUGUAACCCCCGCCUAUUACAUCCCAAUAUUUGUGUGUGUUUAGUUGUAUUUAUUGACUUGUAGCACAUUGGUUUUGUAAGAACUUGUACACACUAUAUAUACAAAAGUAUGUGGACAUCCCUUCAAAUUAGUGGAUUCAGCUAUUUCAGCCACACCCGUUGCUGAUAGGUGUGUAAAAUUGAGCACACAGCCAUGCAAUCUCCGUAGACAAACAUUGGCAGUAGAAUGGUCUUACUGAAGAGGAUGCCACCUUUUCAGCAAGUCAGUUCGUCAAAUUUCUGCCCUGCUAGAUCUGCUGUUUUUGUGAAGUAGAAACGUCUAGGAGCAACAACAGCUCAGCUGCGAAGUGGUAAGCCACACAAGUUCAAAGAAUGGGGCCGAUGAAGUGCACAGCGCUUAAAACAAUUAUUGAUUGCAACACUCACUACUGAGCUCUAAACUGCCUCUGGAAGCAAUGUCAGCACGAGCUGUUCGUCGGGAGAUUCAUGAAAUGGGUUUCCAUAGUCGAGCACCCAUGGACAAAGCGAGGUCCAUACAGAAAUGGUUUGUCGAUUGGUGUGUAAGAACUUGACUGGCCUGCACAGAGCCCUGACCACAACCCCAUCGAACACCUUUGGGAAGAAUUGGAAUGCCGACUGCGAGCCAGGCCUAAUCGCAGUGCCCGAUCUUACUAAUGGCUGAAUGGAAGCAAGUUUCCACAGCAAUGUUCCAACAUCUUUUGGAAAGUCUUCCCAGAAGUGGAGGCUGUUUUUAUAGCAGCAAGGGGGGACCAACUCCAUAUUAAUGCCCAUGAUUUUGGAAUGAGAUGUUCGGCAAGCUGGUGUCCACACACUUUUGGUCAUGUAGUGUAUGUUGUACAGUUCUACACUGAAGAUAUUAAACUGACCUAUGUUGCCAAAGACAACAGCACAGUGCAUAACUUCCCAUGAGCUAUUCCCCUAAAAGGUAACGGCCUAACCACUUCAAUUAGGCUACACUGACUUACGAAACACCAAAGGGGGACUAAUGCGAUAAAGUCCGUUGUCUCCAUGCAGAACUGAUAAGGUAUUAAAGGGCGGCCUGAUGAGAUUUAAAUUAAUUCUGUGCUCAUUCAAAUGUGCCUGUCUCAUUGAGAUGAGCUGCUGUAUUAUUUGGGUUUAGUCUCCUCUCACUGGCAAAGCACUUCUUAACAAAACGUUUAACCAAAUGGAGCAAGAUUUAGCCGAUGAGCUUAGAUUUAACAUGCUUUUGAAAUCAGACCCAUGCAAAGUUUCCUCAGUGCAGUGCACUAUUUGAGGACUUUGAUAUUGAAUGUCAGUCAGUCACCACCUUUUGAUCUGGAAAUGACUACAGGGGUAAAAGAGAACAUGAUCCUUUCUAGAACUGCUUGUUUGGAUUGCAUGAUGCUGAAUGAACUCGGCUGUCGGUGUUUUCGAGGACAACAAAUGAACCUGUCUUCAUUUGAGAGAAAUUAUGCCUCGUCUUUAGGGGGUGUAGUCUAAAAUCCUACAGGAAUCCUUAUCCUUACUGGUGUUAAUAUUCAGAGGAUAUAAUCAUAGUUUUAUAGUAAAUAGGAAGUUCCUUUUUGUGUUAGUAAUUAGCCUACAGUCUGAUCACAAAUGUCGUUAUCCACUUGUAGAGUUGUUUUGGACCCAACAUGCUCAGUCUCUUGUUUUUCUCUGUCCCCUCUUCUCCCCUCUUACUUUCUCUCUCUCUGUUGUGAUGGAGAGCUGACUGCGGGGCAGGGCUGUGUGUAUGUGACUCAGUAGAGGCUGCCUCAGGGGUUUUACCCAGUCGGCUCUGGCUGCACAGGACAUUGAUCAUCCACGAUGAUUCAUUGCAUUUGUUCUCUGAACUGGCACCGGAGGAGUUCCCUGCACCACUUAGAAAUCUUCAGCACUUUUUUGCACUGUAUAUAUCCCUGAACAUCCCUGGCAUAUGUCACUGUCAGUCUUCUUUAGAGGGAAUUGCCUUGAUUUUAGGCAGUCGGUGUUGCCACCAUUUAUGAAGUGAGUUAAUCUGCCAGUAUGAGGUUUAAGUCAUAUCCCAGGCAGUCUGGAGGCCGGCUUAUGUCCCCCCUUGGCUGACUGGCGCUUUGAGAGUUACCCGAGGACACGAGACAGACAGGCUCAUGCAUGUUUGAUCAGCCCAGUCCUGCUGCCUCCGUGGCGGGGUGAAGGCCUGCCCAGGCGAGCGUCACUGAUCAGACGGAACGGAUCGUCCCGACGGGGUUUGCAGAGGACCCUUCGCCACACGCUGUUCACUGUGGCUGGCCCGAGCUCUGCUCGACAGCAAGCCCUCCUCGCCUAAUUAGCACCUGUGAGAAGAAAUCGUUAAUAUGCAGCGGUGAGGUAGCAGAAGGGCACCUCGCUGUCUCUGCUGUUGCCAUAGUGACACCAUGGAAAUUAAGGCAGUCUUAAUUUUGUACGUUUUAUAAGGAGCCACUGAAUCUAUUUCAUUUGGGAAGGAGGACGUGCCCAUAAAAUACUUAUAUAAGAAUUAUUUAUUAAUCUUUGAGUUUAUUAUUCAGUUCUGGGCAAUGUGGGCAUGAAAAAUAAAGUUUGAGUAGAAUUCGGCCUGCCUUGAUGAGGCUGAAUAAUGUUUGAGGCAAGUGUGUUUGAAUAAUCUUCCAUAUUUUAAGGAUAAUUUUUUGUGGUCAUGCCAUAGACUGUUGUUCAGGUAGAAGUGACGAGAUACAUGGCAUGUUGCAUUCUUAAACUGCAAGUAAACAUGAUCCCUUUCAGCCCAGCAUGUUGACAGACAGAGUGGAGGACACUGUUGCCAAACUUUUUAUACAAUAUUACUUUGAUUACAGAAUAUUGGCCUAGAGCUGUCAGUUUUUGUUUUAAAAACAUGCCCUGUUUUUCUGCGUCACAUGAAUAGUCAAUACUGUAUGCAAACUUCAGGAAGGAAGUCAUAUGGUCAAUUUCUUGGUGUGUCAUGUGCCUUUAGGCACAUUGACACUAUGUAUCCUAUUUACUGUUUCAGGCCCUGUGUGGAUAAUGAAUGAUUGAUUUAAUGAAUGCUUUUUAGACACGCGUCUCAUGGUGCUAAUGAAUAUUUAACAUGGUUGUUUUCCUACAGAGCAUAGUCAUGCUAUUUUCAGACUGGUGUUGAAAGUUCUAGGCGUCAUUUAAGUUCAGACUAUUUUAAACUAGAUGUAAAGUUUGUCAAGACAGACUUAGGUAUGCAAUUGAUAAAACCACGCUGACAUGGCAUAAUGAUACUUCUGUCUAUUAACCUGAACAAAAAACGUUCACGGUUUUGCUAGGGGCAAUUAAGUUUGUUGGUAAUACAAUAUACUAUAGGCCUAAAUGAAUGUUAUUUAGUUAUUGUAGGCUAGCUUGGGUAGAACCAUUGCAUGUAGCCUACAAAUUGAAUUAAAAUGAUAAAGCUACAAGUUCAAUGACUUAAAAUGGCUAAUACAUUAAGGUUUCGGAUACUGUCAUUAUUAGAUAAGUAAGUUGUCUUAGAUUUUUACUUCUCUCCCAA